CACUUCUAAGGAAGGCAGCAGGCGCGCAAAUUACCCAAUCCUGACUCAGGGAGGUAGUGACAAGAAAUAACAAUAAACCGGCUUAUGCCGGUUUAAUUGGAAUGAGUACAAUUUAAACAUCUUAACGAGGAACAAUUGGAGGGCAAGUCUGGUGCCAGCAGCCGCGGUAAUUCCAGCUCCAAUAGCGUAUACUAAAGUUGUUGCAGUUAAAAAGCUCGUAGUUGGAUUUCUGUGGGGACGGAGCGGCCGGCCGCAACACGCGGUUCGAGCUAGCGCUUUCCCUACAUCCUGCCGCGAACCGUGCUACCAUUAAUUUGGUGGCGCCGGGGAUCGGCUCGAUUACUUUGAGAAAAAUAGAGUGUUCAAAGCAGGCCACAUGCCUUGAAUAAGUUAGCAUGGAAUAAUAACUAAGGACUUCGGUUCUAUUUUGUUGGUGUUCGGGACUGAAGUAAUGAUUGAUAGGGACAGUUGGGGCGGUCUGUAUUCCAAAGCGAGAGGUGAAAUUCUUAGACCUUCGGAAGACAAACAGCUGCGAAAGCGUUCCGCAAGGAUGUUCCCUUUGAUCAAGAACGAAAGUUGGGGGAUCGAAGACGAUCAGAUACCGUCGUAGUCUCAACUAUAAACUAUACCAGCUAGGGAUCGGCCAACGUUAUUUCAUACCGACUUGGUCGGCACCUUAUGAGAAAUCAAAGCAUCUGGGUUCCGGGGGGAGUAUGGUCGCAAGGCUGAAACUUAAAGGAAUUGACGGAAGGGCACCACCAGCCGUGGAGCCUGUGGCUUAAUUUGACUCAACACGGGAAAACUUACCAGGUCCAGACAUAGUAAGGAUUGACAGAUUGAUAGCUCUUUCUUGAUUCUGUGGGUGGUGGUGCAUGGCCGUUCUUAGUUGGUGGAGUGAUUUGUCUGGUUAAUUCCGUUAACGAACGAGACCCCAGCCUGCUAAAUAGCGCGCGUGAGCUUUGCUCGCGGCGAGCUUCUUAGAGGGACUCUGAUGCGCGAUAGCACAUGGAAGUUUGGGGCAAUAACAGGUCUGUGAUGCCCUUAGAUGUUCUGGGCCGCACACGGGCUACACUGGCGCCUGCAACGAGCAUAUCAGCUGGCCCGAGAGGGUCUUGGCUAAUCUUUUGAACCGGCGCCGUGCUUGGGAUUGACCUUUGCAAUUGUUGGUCAUGCAACGAGGAAUGCCUUGUAAACGCGAGUCAUCAGCUCGCAUUGAAUACGUCCCUGCCCUUUGUACACACCGCCCGUCGCUCCUACCGAUGAAUGUUCCGAUGAAAUUUUCGGAGAGCACCUGUGAACUUGGCUCCGCCUUGCGAACGGGAGGCUCAAAGUCACUUAAAUCUGAACAUUU
rnacentral:rRNA from 1 species